UAGACUACUGAUAUCAAUAUGGAAUUACUUCUUUUCCGGGAGCCCAUUCAAACAGAACUUUCAAGUUAAGCGUGCUUGGCUUAGAGUAGUUCUAGGAUGGGUGACCGACUAGGAAGUUCAUCCCGGGUGUGC
rnacentral:rRNA from 1 species